UUGUCGUACGMGGAGGGACAUUACCGAGUUUACAACUCCCAAACCCCUGUGAACAUACCUUAAUGUUGCCUCGGCGGAUCAGCCCGCGCCCCGUAAAACGGGACGGCCCGCCAGAGGACCCAAACUCUAAUGUUUCUUAUUGUAACUUCUGAGUAAAACAAACAAAUAAAUCAAAACUUUCAACAACGGAUCUCUUGGUUCUGGCAUCGAUGAAGAACGCAGCAAAAUGCGAUAAGUAAUGUGAAUUGCAGAAUUCAGUGAAUCAUCGAAUCUUUGAACGCACAUUGCGCCCGCUGGUAUUCCGGCGGGCAUGCCUGUUCGAGCGUCAUUUCAACCCUCAAGCCCUCGGGUUUGGUGUUGGGGAUCGGCUCUGCCUUCUGGCGGUGCCGCCCCCGAAAUACAUUGGCGGUCUCGCUGCAGCCUCCAUUGCGUAGUAGCUAACACCUCGCAACUGGAACGCGGCGCGGCCAUGCCGUAAAACCCCAACUUCUGAAUGUUGACCUCGGAUCAGGUAGGAAUACCCGCUGAACUUAAGCAUAUCAAAGCCGGRAGGAAA
rnacentral:rRNA from 1 species